GAUGAACGCUGGCGGCGUGCCUAAUACAUGCAAGUCGAGCGAACAGACGAUGAGCUUGCUCCUCUGACGUUAGCGGCGGACGGGUGAGUAACACGUGUAUAACCUACCUAUAAUACUGGUAUAACCUCGGGAAAGCGGAGCUAACACCGGAUAAUAUAUUGAACCACAUGGGGCAAUGGUGAAAGACGGUGGUUCUGUCUCGUCUAGAUGGAUCAGGGCCGCAUGAGGUGGUUGUGGAGGUAAAGGCUUGCUAGGGCGGCGAUGCGUAGCCGAAGUGAGGGGGUGAUAGGCCACACUGGAGCUGAACCACGGACAAGACGACUACGGGAGGCACCAGUAGGCAACGUUACGCAAUGGUGGAGAGCAUGACAGAGCGACGCGGCGCGAGAGACGACGGUCUUCCGAUCGUAAUGCCCUGUUACUAGGUAUGAACAAAUUUGUAAGUAACUAUGCCCGUCUUGACGGUAACUAAUAAGAAAGCAACGGCUAACUACGUG
rnacentral:rRNA from 1 species